GGGAGAGAGGGGGAGGGGGAGGGAGAGAGAGAGACAGAGAGAGAGGGAGAGACCUAUCUCAAAAGGAAAAAAAGAAAACACAUACUUCAGAAAUAAUUAAGGAAUCUGAAGUAACAUGGAAUACAGCCAACAACCAGGUCUGAGUGGAAAAAGUUAAGAUGUGUAAGAUGAUAUCUAGGGGGUGUCUUAAUAGACAAUUAGCCCUGUAUCUAACUACUGACAGCAAGUACAGUACAUUUCAACAUUAACUGUUACAGAAUACUUGGAGGGAGUAAUCAGAGUGCAGAGGAAAAGGAAUGAUAUUAAUUAUGCAGCAGGAUACAUUUUUAUGCCUCUGGAUCUUUGACUUGCUGUUUUACCUGACUGAAAUCCCACUAUUCUGCCUUAGGAAGUCUUAACCUUACAGGGUAGGUUAAAAUCUCACUAUUUUAUUAAAGCAUCCCAAUCAGAAUUAAUCCCAUAAUUGUCUCUAUCAUAAUUAAUCAUUCUAUGCCACUGGCUUACAUUUACAUGUUACAAGAAAGAGGUUAAGAUUGUGCAAGACAUAUUUUAGCACAUCCACCUGCACACAUCACCUUUUACAGAAACUUUCCAAUGCCAGGCCAUGCUGAAAGGACAAAAUUAGGUGGCCAUGUUUUAUAUUACAAAACCUAGGCAAUCUCCCCAUCCCAAUUUUGAAAAAUCACCAGGGUUUUUAGAUACAAGAGUACUUACAACAUUAUUUUCUACCAGUAAUAACUAAAAAAAUUAGACAUGUUAUCAGCCACAGUAUUUAUUAACAAAUACUAAAACCAUCUAGGAAUUGAUCCAAGAAAGCCAUCUAGGAAUUGAUCCAAGAAAGAACGCAUGAGAUUUUAAAAGGGAAUAUUUUAAAAUUAUUUUAAAGGACAUAAAAGACUGCAAGGAUUAAAGAGACAUACCACAUUCAUGGAUGAAAUGAUUUAAUAUUAAAAUUCAAUUCCCACAAAUUAGUCUUUGCAUUUAAUGCAAUUCCAACCAUAAUUCUAGCAUUCUGACAAAUUGAUUCUAAAGUUUUUAUGGAAGAAUAAAGACCCAUAAAGACCCAGAAAACUUUGAAAAGAAGAACCAAGAUUAGAGAUUCAUGCUACUAGAUAUUAAGAUACACUACAAAGCCAUAAGACUAAAAAAAUGUGGAAUGGGUGGGUAUAAGAACAGACCAACUGGCCAAUGAAACAUAAGAGAGGGUCUAGAAAUAGAUCACAUAUAUAUAUGCAAACAGUGUAAUUUAAAUUCUUUGAUAAUCAUUGAGGAAUAUCAUAUUUUUAUAGGCAAUAUUAAAAAUAUAGGGCUGGGCGCAGUGGCUCACGCCUGUAAUCCCAGCACUUUGGGAGGCCAAGACGGGUGGAUCACGAGGUCAGGAGAUCGAGACCAUCCUGGCUAACACGGUGAAACCCCAUUUCUACUAAAAAUACAAAAAAUUAGCCAGGCGUGGUGGUGGGCGCCUGUAGUCCUAGCUACUUGGGAGGCUGAGGCAGAACAAUGGCGUGAACCCAGGAGGCGGAGCUUGCAGUGAGCCGAGAUUGCGCCACUGCACUCCAGCCUGGGCGACAGAACGAGACCCCCAUCUCAAAAAAAAAAAAAAAAAAAAAAUGGACCCACUAUUUAGAGAAAAAUAAAUCUGAGUUCAUACCACAUACUUUAUAUAAAGGUAAACUUCAUGAUGACAACAAAAGACUCAAACGUGAAAGGUUAAACUCUAAAUUUUUUUUAAUGUAGGAUACUCUCAGACUUUGGGGUGAAAAAUUAUUUAAGCAAAUUCCCAAAAAGAAAAUACAAGGCAAACAUUUAAUGGAUAUCAUUACAUUAAAAUUAAGGAUUUCUCUUCAACUACAGACACCAAAGACAGAAUUAACAAAGAGAUGAGAAACUAGAAGAUAUUUACAACGUUAUAAACAGAGACUACAAUCUAGAGUAAAUGAUUACUGAAGUUCAAUAAAGAAAAAAUAGGAAGCCCAGUGGAAACACUGGCCAAAGAUAUGAAUGAUUUCAGUUCUGGACAAGAUGGACUAAGCAUAUACAACCCCAAUCUCUCCCAUUUAAUAUAGCUAUAAAACUUGGAUGGAAUACACGGGGCAGCUAUUUGGGAACUCUGGCAGGAAGAUCAGGUAAGAUAGGAAUUUAAAGUACCAAUAAACUUGUGGUGAGUUUACCCAUUUUUCCCCUCAGGCGUCCCUAGUCUGGUUUCAACCCAGCCUCAAACCUGGAAAUGAGCAUAAAUGCUGAAAGGGAGCUCCAAGGGAAGUCUGCUAGUUAUAGUGGGAGGAGAUACAUCGUAUUACCUAGAGAAAGGUUUCUCAACUUCAGCACUAUUAAUCUUGGGUAAUUCCUUGUUGUGGGAGUACUGUUCUGUACACUGCAGAAUGUGUGCAGCAUCUGGGCCUCUACACAUUAGACGCCUGUAGUACUCCCCAACCAAGAGUCUCCAGACAUUGCCAAAUGUGCUCUGGGAGACAAAAUCACCACCACCACCACAAGCCACUACUAAGAAGUACUGCUCUAAGACUUGAAAUAAUAGAUUAAAAGGAAAUGCUGAAAAAAAAAAAAAAGUCCAAAUAACUCAAAAGAAAGCAGAAAAGUAGAAACAGGAAUGAAAAACAGAGGCUACAAACACAAAACAAAUAAAUGGUAGGACUAAAUCCAAACUUUUUGCUGUCUACAAGAAUCUCGCUUCAAAUAUAACAAUAUAGGUAGGUUAAAAGCAAAAAGAUGGACAAAGGUAUGCCAUACAAACACUUUUUAUCAAAAGAAAGGUAGCGUGGCUAUGUUAACACCAGACAAAGACUUCUGAGUGUCUUGAGUAAGUGUCCAUGAACAGAUGAAUGGAUAAAGAAAACAUGGUGUGUAUGUGUACACAUAUAUACACACACAAUAGAAUACUAUUUAAUCAUGAAAAAGAAUGAAGUGCUACCAUUUGCAGCAACAUAGAUGAACUUGGAAGACAUUUUGUUAAGUGAAAUAAGCCACGUGCAGAAAGAUAAAUUCUGCAUGUUCUCACUCAUAUGUGGAAGCUAAAAAAAGUUGAUUUAGUAGAAGAAAAGAGUAGAAUAGUGGCUACUAGAGGUGGAGAAAGAGUAGGAGUAGGGAACUGCCAAAGGUUGCUUAACAGAUACAAAAGUACAGCUGGAUAGGAGGAUUAAGUUCCAGUGUUCUAUAGCACUAUAGGUAACUAUAAUUCACAACCAUUUAUUGUGUUUCAAAUAGCUAUAGGAGUGAAUUUCCCAUGAUACCAACAAAUGAUAAAUGUAUGGGGUAAUGGAUAUGCUAAUUACUUUAUUUGAUCAUUACACACUAUAUCCAUGUAUUGAAUUAUCACACUAUGCCCCAUAAAUAUGUAGUUAUGUAUCGAUUAAAAACAAUAAAAGAAAAGGCCAUUAGAGAAGAUUUAAAACUUACCGAGGAUUAAGAGGGAUAUGAUAUAAUAAUAAAAGGUAAAUUUGCCAAGAAAACACAACAAUCCUAUAUAACAACAGCCCUUCAAACUAUUAAUACAUGAAGCAAAAACUGAGAAAUGAAAGGAGAAAAACACAAAUCCGUAAGUGUUGCUGUAGAUUUCAAAUCUCUUCUCAAACUAGCAGACAGAAAAAACAACAAGAAUACAGAACUGAGCAAUACUAUCAACCAACUGGAUCUCACUGACAUUAAUAGAAAACUUCACCCAAGGACUGCAGAAUACACAUUAUUUUCAUAGGCUCCUGGGUUAUAAAACCUCAGCAAAGUUGGCCGGGCGCAGUGGCUCACGCCUGUAACCCUAGCACUUUCGGGAGGCCGAGAUGGGUGGAUCACGAGGUCAGGAGAUCGAGACCAUCCUGGUUAACACGGUGAAACCCCGUCUCUACUAAAAAUACAAAAAAUUAGCCGGGCGUGGUGGCAGGCGCCUGUAGUCCCAGCUACUCCGGAGGCUGAGGAAGGAGAAUGGCGUGAACUCAGGAGGUGGAGCUUGCAGCGAGCCUAGAUCGCGC
rnacentral:lncRNA from 1 species